rnacentral:rRNA from 1 species
AUUGAACGCUGGCGGCAGGCCUAACACAUGCAAGUCGAGCGAGGAGCGGACGGGUGAGUAAUGUAUGGGUACUGCCCGAUAGGGGGGGCUAACUACUGGAGACGGUAGCUAAUACCGCAUACUAUCGGAUAACACAUAUGGGAUUAGCUAGUAGGUGAGGUAAUGGCUCACCAAGGCAACGAUCCCUAGCUGGUCUGAGAGGAUGAUCCGCCACACUGGGACUGAGACACGGCCCAGACUCCUACGGAGGCAGCAGUGGGGAAUAUUGGACAAUGGGCGCAAGCCUGAUGCAGCCAUGCCGCGUGUAUGAAGAAGGCCCUAGGGUUGUAAAGUACUUUCAGUAGGGAGGCGUUACCGACAGAAGAAGCACCGGCUAACUCCGUGCCAGCAGCCGCGGUAAUUC